UACGGAGGGUGCAAGCGUUAUCCGGAUUCACUGGGUUUAAAGGGUGCGUAGGUGGAUUGGUAAGUCAGUGGUGAAAUCUCCGGGCUUAACUCGGAAACUGCCAUUGAUACUAUCAGUCUUGAAUACCGUGGAGGUCAGUGGAAUAUGUCAUGUAGCGGUGAAAUGCUUAGAUAUGACAUAGAACACCAAUUGCGAAGGCAGCUGGCUACACGAAUAUUGACACUCAGGCACGAAAGCGUGGGGAUCAAACAGG
rnacentral:rRNA from 1 species